rnacentral:pre_miRNA from 2 species
UCUUAAGGAAGGGCAAAGAAAGUGGUUUCUUGAGAUGGAAACUACUCCUAAUGAAGAGGCUGUGAA